rnacentral:rRNA from 1 species
CCUACGGGGGGCAGCAGUGGGGAAUAUUGCGCAAUGGGCGAAAGCCUGACGCAGCGACGCCGCGUGAGGGAUGAAGGUCUUCGGAUCGUAAACCUCUGUCAGCAGGGAAGAACGGUCACUGUGCUAAUCAGCAGUGAAUUGACGGUACCUGCAAAGGAAGCACCGGCUAACACCGUGCCAGCAGCCGCGGUAAUACGGAGGGGGCGAGCGUUAAUCGGAAUUAAUGGGCGUAAAGCGCUCGUAGGCGGUAUGUCAAGUCAAGGGUGAAAUCCCCGGGAUCAACGUGGGAACUGCCUUUGAACCUGGCAAACUGGAGUGUGUGAGAGGAUAGUGGAAUUCCAGGUGUAGGAGUGAAAUCCGUAGAUAUCUGGAGGAACAUCAGUGGCGAAGGCGACUAUCUGGCACAUAACUGACGCUGAGGAGCGAAAGCGUGGGUAGCAAACAGGAUUAGAUACCCUAGUAGUC